rnacentral:rRNA from 1 species
ACGAACGCUGGCGGCGCGCCUAACACAUGCAAGUCGAACGAGCGAGAGAGAGCUUGCUUUCUCGAGCGAGUGGCGAACGGGUGAGUAACGCGUGAGGAACCUGCCUCAAAGAGGAGGACAACAGUUGGAAACGACUGCUAAUACCGAAUAAGCCCACGACCCGGCAUCGGGUCGAGGGAAAAGGAGCAAUCCGCUUUGAGAUGGCCUCGCGUCCGAUUAGCUAGUUGGUGAGGUAACGGCCCACCAAGGCGACGAUCGGUAGCCGGACUGAGAGGUUGAACGGCCACAUUGGGACUGAGACACGGCCCAGACUCCUACGGGAGGCAGCAGUGGGGAAUAUUGCACAAUGGGGGAAACCCUGAUGCAGCGACGCCGCGUGGAGGAAGAAGGUCUUCGGAUUGUAAACUCCUGUUGUUGAGGAAGAUAAUGACGGUACUCAACAAGGAAGUGACGGCUAACUACGUGCCAGCCGCCGCCGUAA